GUCUACAGCCAUGUCACCCUGAACAUGCCCAAUCUCAUCUCAUCUCGGAAGCUAAGCAGGGUUCCAAACUAAGCAGGGGCUGGUUAGUACUUGGAUGGGAGACCACCAGGUGCUGUAGACU
ensembl:rRNA 5S_rRNA 5S ribosomal RNA